UUCUAAUCUUCAAGCUCUGCAAAAAUGGCGAUUGAGUGAAGAAUGAGAGAUCUCGAGUGAGUUUUAUCAUCAACAGUGAGGGUUUUGUUCACACAGUUCGUGUUACGGUUUGAUUUGAUGCUUACUGAAACUGAGAAAGAGAUGGAGAUACUGAUUGAAGUCAGAUUGAGAAGAUGAUGUGAGUAAGGAAGGGAUGAAUAGUCUGAUUGUGGAUGAACUAUAGUGGUGUUUUUGUGAAGAUUUUCGAGCAAAUCAGGUACAUUUUUGUUGAAUAUUAGGUAUGUUUUGAUUAACUGUAGUGGUCGUUUAACAAUUUUAGAGAUUUUUCUCAUAAACCCUAAUUAGGGAAAAUUGGGUAUUUUGUAUUUUAUCUGAUGAUGUCUGUCGAUUGGAGUUGACGGUAUUUAUGGGUAUUUGAGGAGAGUUUAGACAUGAAUUUAAUACAGCUGAAGGUGAAGCAACAUUCGUGGAUUCUGGAUAGGUCUUGAUGGAAUUGAUUUGAAGUUGUUGUUGGUAAUUGAAAGAAAACAAAAGAUGAACUGAAGUACUGUAGCUGGUAGUGUUACUGUGUUUGGAGGUGGUGAUGUUCUUUGAGCUUUUGAAGUAUGCUAGUGAUGAAAAGAGCAGGUGUUGGUGGUUGGAGUUGUGAGAAAUUCAGAUGGUGCUAUUGAGUCUGUUGAAUUCAGGGACAAACAUGGUUGUUGUGUGGUGUUUGAUACAGAAACUGAGAUGGUGGUGUUCUGUAGGUGCAAUUGCAGGAGAUGGAGUUGAGGUGUGGAUUGAUGUGAUAAAUGGAAGAGAUAAAUGACUGCAAUAGAUGAAUUAGCAUGAAGACUAAACGUAUGCUUAGGAUUUGGAUCUGUAAACUGAUGGGUUGGAGGUAUUGAAUUGCAACUGUACAGUUGAAAUGACUUGAUUGAAUUGCAGGAGAUGUGCUUAAGAUGAACCAGGUAAUGAUGUUGGUGAGUUCAUACAAGGUGAUUAUUUUCUGUGGAUGUGUGUGUAUGUCCUGAGAUGCAGAUGAGUUGAGAGGGUGGUACAGUGGUGGCUAUGAGCUGAGAAGUAGGGUUCUGAUAGGAGAUUGUAUUCUGCAGCUGUAAAAGAUGAAUUCUAGUGGUGAAUAAGAAUAUGGUUUGAAUUGAGAAGAUGGGUUGCAUCUGCAACUCAGUUUUGGAGACAACCAGUGAUGAAUAAUGGGUAGUGUGGUGUGCUGUAUCUGGUGGAUUCUACUGCGAAUGGAGCGGUAGAUUAUGGAGCUUCUGAAAUGCAUUGGCUAGGGUUGCAGUUGAGAAUUGAGAUUGUGUUGUGUGCAGUGUGGAAAGAAGCAAUUGCAGGUAAUAUUCAAGAAUGAGAAAUUGAGUUAUGGAAGAGUGAAGGAAACUGAAUUACUGUGUGGACUGAGCUGAACUGAAGUUGAUGGUUGAACUGAGUGCAGUCACGCCACGACAUUGCAGGUGGUCUGGAACUGAGAUUGGUAAGGGUUCAGCUGGUGCUAGUUGUGUUGUUGAGAAGUUGUUGUUGCAGAGAUGAAGUGAAUGGUGAUGGGAAGUUUGGAUGAAAGAAUGGGUUGUGCAGUUUUAGAUGGCUCAAAUGUGUGAUUUGAGAAUGUGCAGGACUAAAACUGCAAAGAAGAAGAUGAUGGAGCUAAAAAGUUUGUGGUUUACUGAUAGAUGGAAGGGAUAUAGAGAAGCAGAGUUGCAUUACAGGGAAGUUGCAGGAUGAACGCAAAUGGCUCGUUCCUUGGCAGUUAUACUAGUCAGCCUGAGCUAGUCUGCUAGGUUUUGGUUACAAAAAAUUUGCCACGUCACCGUGCCACCGCGUCAGCGAGAUGCCACCACGUCAGCAACGGGUUAACUGUGGUUAACGUUUGCUUGACUUAAGAGCGAGGGCAUUUUGGAAAUCUGUUAUGUCGGAUGAAGUAGGAUCAUUUUGUAACCAAUUUACAAAAGUAUGAUCACUUUGUAACUGAAUUACAAAAAGUAUGACCAUUUUGCAAAUAGCCCUAAAA